AAGUGCAAGAUGGAGAAGCAGGGCACGUGCAUUACUAACGAAGCAAUACAAUCUCUUUACGUCUUACCUUCUCUGCAGGUUAGUUAGUUCUUCAUGUGCCCCUCUUUUCCAUCAUGCCCAC
rnacentral:pre_miRNA from 1 species